rnacentral:rRNA from 1 species
AUGGGUCCCCGGAGCCAGAUCCGGCCUCUACCACUCCGGAUCUGCCAACCCUGUGCGUUGGACCUCGCCGGAGUCGCGCCAAACCGCCGUCGUCAUCCUGCCUCGUUCGGUGCAGCCUCGUCGCGCCCUCCUGCCUGUGUUGACCGAGGCCGCGCCAGGCCCAGAUCCAGCGCGCCCCUUUCCGGCCUCUCUCCACCGGCCGGGCCAAGGCCCAUGGUUGCAGGUGCCGAUGAUACCAGUGUAGGUGACGCUACCGAACUCAAGUGGGAGUUCGACGAGGACCUUGGUUGUUACUAUGUUUCGUUUCCUGAUGAUCGGUUGUGA